rnacentral:rRNA from 1 species
GGGUUGUGAGGUUAAGCGACUAAGCGUACACGGUGGAUGCCCUGGCAGUCAGAGGCGAUGAAGGACGUGCUAAUCUGCGAUAAGCGUCGGUAAGGUGAUAUGAACCGUUAUAACCGGCGAUUUCCGAAUGGGGAAACCCAGUGUGUUUCGACACACUAUCAUUAACUGAAUCCAUAGGUUAAUGAGGCGAACCGGGGGAACUGAAACAUCUAAGUACCCCGAGGAAAAGAAAUCAACCGAGAUUCCCCCAGUAGCGGCGAGCGAACGGGGAGGAGCCCAGAGCCUGAAUCAGUGUGUGUGUUAGUGGAAGCGUCUGGAAAGGCGCGCGAUACAGGGUGACAGCCCCGUACACAAAAAUGCACAUACUGUGAGCUCGAUGAGUAGGGCGGGACACGUGGUAUCCUGUCUGAAUAUGGGGGGACCAUCCUCCAAGGCUAAAUACUCCUGACUGACCGAUAGUGAACCAGUACCGUGAGGGAAAGGCGAAAAGAACCCCGGCGAGGGGAGUGAAAAAGAACCUGAAACCGUGUACGUACAAGCAGUGGGAGCCUCUUAAUGGGGUGACUGCGUACCUUUUGUAUAAUGGGUCAGCGACUUAUAUUCUGUAGCAAGGUUAACCGAAUAGGGGAGCCGAAGGGAAACCGAGUCUUAACUGGGCGUUAAGUUGCAGGGUAUAGACCCGAAACCCGGUGAUCUAGCCAUGGGCAGGUUGAAGGUUGGGUAACACUAACUGGAGGACCGAACCGACUAAUGUUGAAAAAUUAGCGGAUGACUUGUGGCUGGGGGUGAAAGGCCAAUCAAACCGGGAGAUAGCUGGUUCUCCCCGAAAGCUAUUUAGGUAGCGCCUCGUGAAUUCAUCUCCGGGGGUAGAGCACUGUUUCGGCAAGGGGGUCAUCCCGACUUACCAACCCGAUGCAAACUGCGAAUACCGGAGAAUGUUAUCACGGGAGACACACGGCGGGUGCUAACGUCCGUCGUGAAGAGGGAAACAACCCAGACCGCCAGCUAAGGUCCCAAAGUCAUGGUUAAGUGGGAAACGAUGUGGGAAGGCCCAGACAGCCAGGAUGUUGGCUUAGAAGCAGCCAUCAUUUAAAGAAAGCGUAAUAGCUCACUGGUCGAGUCGGCCUGCGCGGAAGAUGUAACGGGGCUAAACCAUGCACCGAAGCUGCGGCAGCGACACUAUGUGUUGUUGGGUAGGGGAGCGUUCUGUAAGCCUGUGAAGGUGUACUGUGAGGUAUGCUGGAGGUAUCAGAAGUGCGAAUGCUGACAUAAGUAACGAUAAAGCGGGUGAAAAGCCCGCUCGCCGGAAGACCAAGGGUUCCUGUCCAACGUUAAUCGGGGCAGGGUGAGUCGACCCCUAAGGCGAGGCCGAAAGGCGUAGUCGAUGGGAAACAGGUUAAUAUUCCUGUACUUGGUGUUACUGCGAAGGGGGGACGGAGAAGGCUAUGUUGGCCGGGCGACGGUUGUCCCGGUUUAAGCGUGUAGGCUGGUUUUCCAGGCAAAUCCGGAAAAUCAAGGCUGAGGCGUGAUGACGAGGCACUACGGUGCUGAAGCAACAAAUGCCCUGCUUCCAGGAAAAGCCUCUAAGCAUCAGGUAACAUCAAAUCGUACCCCAAACCGACACAGGUGGUCAGGUAGAGAAUACCAAGGCGCUUGAGAGAACUCGGGUGAAGGAACUAGGCAAAAUGGUGCCGUAACUUCGGGAGAAGGCACGCUGAUAUGUAGGUGAAGUCCCUCGCGGAUGGAGCUGAAAUCAGUCGAAGAUACCAGCUGGCUGCAACUGUUUAUUAAAAACACAGCACUGUGCAAACACGAAAGUGGACGUAUACGGUGUGACGCCUGCCCGGUGCCGGAAGGUUAAUUGAUGGGGUUAGCGGUAACGCGAAGCUCUUGAUCGAAGCCCCGGUAAACGGCGGCCGUAACUAUAACGGUCCUAAGGUAGCGAAAUUCCUUGUCGGGUAAGUUCCGACCUGCACGAAUGGCGUAAUGAUGGCCAGGCUGUCUCCACCCGAGACUCAGUGAAAUUGAACUCGCUGUGAAGAUGCAGUGUACCCGCGGCAAGACGGAAAGACCCCGUGAACCUUUACUAUAGCUUGACACUGAACAUUGAGCCUUGAUGUGUAGGAUAGGUGGGAGGCUUUGAAGUGUGGACGCCAGUCUGCAUGGAGCCGGCCUUGAAAUACCACCCUUUAAUGUUUGAUGUUCUAACGUUGGCCCCUGAUCGGGGUUGCGGACAGUGUCUGGUGGGUAGUUUGACUGGGGCGGUCUCCUCCUAAAGAGUAACGGAGGAGCACGAAGGUUGGCUAAUCCUGGUCGGACAUCAGGAGGUUAGUGCAAUGGCAUAAGCCAGCUUGACUGCGAGCGUGACGGCGCGAGCAGGUGCGAAAGCAGGUCAUAGUGAUCCGGUGGUUCUGAAUGGAAGGGCCAUCGCUCAACGGAUAAAAGGUACUCCGGGGAUAACAGGCUGAUACCGCCCAAGAGUUCAUAUCGACGGCGGUGUUUGGCACCUCGAUGUCGGCUCAUCACAUCCUGGGGCUGAAGUAGGUCCCAAGGGUAUGGCUGUUCGCCAUUUAAAGUGGUACGCGAGCUGGGUUUAGAACGUCGUGAGACAGUUCGGUCCCUAUCUGCCGUGGGCGCUGGAGAACUGAGGGGGGCUGCUCCUAGUACGAGAGGACCGGAGUGGACGCAUCACUGGUGUUCGGGUUGUCAUGCCAAUGGCACUGCCCGGUAGCUAAAUGCGGAAGAGAUAAGUGCUGAAAGCAUCUAAGCACGAAACUUGCCCCGAGAUGAGUUCUCCCUGACUCCUUGAGAGUCCUGAAGGAACGUUGAAGACGACGACGUUGAUAGGCCGGGUGUGUAAGCGCAGCGAUGCGUUGAGCUAACCGGUACUAAUGAACCGUGAGGCUUAACCUUACAACGCCGAAG